AUUGAACGCUGGCGGCAGGCCUAACACAUGCAGGUCGAGCGAGCGGCGGACGGGUGAGUAAUGUCUGGGAAACUGCCUGAUGGAGGGGGAUAACUACUGGAAAAGGUAGCUAAUACCGCAUACCAUCAGAUGUGCCCAGAUGGGAUUAGCUAUGAGGUGGGGUAAUGGCUCACCUAGCCGACAAUCCCUAGCUGGUCUGAGAGGAUGACCAGCCACACGGGAACUGAGACACGGUCAAGACGCUUACGGAGGGGAGCAGUGGGGAAUAUUGGACAAUGGGGGCAAGCCGGAUGCAGCCAUGCCGCGUGUGUGAAGAAGGCCGUCGGGUUGUAAAGCACUUGCAGCGAGGAGGCGUUGGUCGCAGAAGAAGCACCGGCUAACUCCGUGCGAGCAGCCGCGGUAAUAC
rnacentral:rRNA from 1 species